rnacentral:rRNA from 1 species
CGCUGGCGGCAGGCCUAACACAUGCAAGUCGAGCGGAUGAAGGGAGCUUGCUCCCUGAUUUAGCGGCGGACGGGUGAGUAAUGCCUAGGAAUCUGCCUGGUAGUGGGGGAUAACGUUCCGAAAGGAACGCUAAUACCGCAUACGUCCUACGGGAGAAAGCAGGGGACCUUCGGGCCUUGCGCUAUCAGAUGAGCCUAGGUCGGAUUAGCUAGUUGGUGAGGUAAUGGCUCACCAAGGCGACGAUCCGUAACUGGUCUGAGAGGAUGAUCAGUCACACUGGAACUGAGACACGGUCCAGACUCCUACGGGAGGCAGCAGUGGGGAAUAUUGGACAAUGGGCGAAAGCCUGAUCCAGCCAUGCCGCGUGUGUGAAGAAGGUCUUCGGAUUGUAAAGCACUUUAAGUUGGGAGGAAGGGCAGUAAGCUAAUACCUUGCUGUUUUGACGUUACCGACAGAAUAAGCACCGGCUAACUUCGUGCCAGCAGCCGCGGUAAUACGAAGGGUGCAAGCGUUAAUCGGAAUUACUGGGCGUAAAGCGCGCGUAGGUGGUUCGUUAAGUUGGAUGUGAAAGCCCCGGGCUCAACCUGGGAACUGCAUCCAAAACUGGCGAGCUAGAGUACGGUAGAGGGUGGUGGAAUUCCCUGUGUAGCGGUGAAAUGCGUAGAUAUAGGAAGGAACACCAGUGGCGAAGGCGACCACCUGGACUGAUACUGACACUGAGGUGCGAAAGCG